UACGUAGGGUGCAAGCGUUGUCCGGAAUUAUUGGGCGUAAAGAGCUCGUAGGCGGUUUGUCGCGUCUGCUGUGAAAACGCGAGGCUCAACCUCGCGCCUGCAGGUGGGUACGGGCAGACUAGAGUGGCGGUAGGGGAGAUUGGAAUUCCCGGUGUAGCGGAUGAAUGCGCAGAUAUCGGGAAGAACACCGUGGCGAAGGCGGCUCUCUGGGACGGU
rnacentral:rRNA from 1 species